ensembl:lncRNA
GUUGGACCUUGUGAUGCAAUGCUGUAAUGCUGCAGCAGGCUGUAUCCCACUCCACUGGAGAUGUCAGGGCAUGCCAAGGUCAAGAGGACUAGAGCUAUAUUUCUGGAUGAGAAAUUGCAGGUAUCAGCCGCAGCAUGAGGACUGGAAAGGUGAGCUGGGAAUUUCAAUCCGCGCAGUAAAGUGGAGUGAAGGUUAAAGUUUUAUGCGCCCAGGGACAAUGAAGAUUGAUUGCUUGGAGAAUUGUGUUUUGUCCGCAAUUACAGGGGUUGUGAGGCUGAAAAUAACUUCCUUUUCGGUUAACAUGGGCAGCCUAUAUCUCUCUGUUCACUGCGCAGCGCGUUGUGUCAUGUCUCAGAUGCGACCAAGACUGAACGCACGGACUUCUCCAGAGCGCCGAGGUGCUGCAGUGUGUGUGUGUGUGUGUGUGUGUGUGUGUGUGUGAAACUGGAUAUUUAAGAGCUCGGAUCGGCGGUGACAGUGGACACACACACACACACACACACACACACACACACACACACACUGCGAGGGACGUUGAGGACUUGAACGCGGCAUGAAGCAGGCGGAGGGAAUGAGCGCUCGCCCUCGUGCAGCGCGUGCAGUGAUGCGCGUCUAUAAACGUGACUGAGCAGCUCAUGAAGCAGAGGCGGUAUGUGGGAAUCAUCAGAGCUGUUUCAGAUAGCGGUGAAGCUGAAAGAGCAUCUCGGAGCAGUAGCCCAUCUCAACCAUCCAGCGGUUCACACAAACAUGAAAACACACAGGCAGCGCGCGCUUCAAGAGGAGCAACUCCAAGUUCAGUUCAGGUACCUCACCCCAGCUACAAGGCCAGAUUUCGCCCGUUUUGUCAGCGUGCAAGUUUCCCCCAUCGACUCUUCUUUCUGUUCACCUCGAUGUCCUUGGGCUGCCUGGUAUCGCAUGGUGCUUGGUCAUGCAGCUUCGGAAGUCGUUUGACCCUCAAGGAGCUAUGAGGGAGCGUGGAAGCUGAAGGUGACCUGUGGCUGGGCCAGGGGCUGCAACACAGGACAUGGGAGCUGCCUCUCACUCCCGCUCGUGUCUUGUGUUGCAGCCAGUGGAACUGCUGCACUGUGCACAUCACAAGGACGUCCUACAUCAGAAGCUGACUUUUUUUGUGUGUUUAGCAUGUACAUAAAUGUGCGCAUUCCUAAAUAAAAAUUCAUAAACAUUUUGCUGGGUGACAGUAAGUCCAUUCUAGCUGAAAUAGGACUUUUUUGCUUGUAUAAGCAAAGGCAAAUAUUGCUGCAGAACAACAGACAAGGUCAACAUUAUUGCACCUGUAUUUGUGUGUGUGUGUGUGUGUGUGUGUGUGUGUGUGUGUGUGUGUGUGUGCGUGCGUGCACGCACUGCUUGUCUGCUCUUGUAUUAAUGGUGUAUAAUCUACUUCAAGGUUAGGGUUGAAUAACACAGAUGGAGAAACCCAAGAUUGCAUUCUCCGCAUGUUGCUGCUCUUCCUAUUCAUAGUUGCCAGGCUGAGGAAGUGGAAUCACGGUCAAAGUAAUCAUUUAAACUCACAAAACAAAGUAAUUUUCUGUCAGGGUUUCACCCGAUUGGAAUUUAGACCCAAGAGUAAAUCCAAAAAGUUUUCCAAUCAUGUCUAAGCUCUCUCGCUGGGUUCCGAAUACAGCACAAUAGAAAUGGCUGCAAUUUGUAGACUAACGGAGGUUAAAAUCGGAUCUUUUUUUCAGCGCAGCGUAACGACACAGAGGCUGAUUACAUAAUGGCAUUCAAACAUACUAACAAGACGAUCACAAUACGUUGUUUUCAUGUGUCAAAAUUCAUACGUUGCCAUCCAUUUCUUUUAUUUUAAUGGGUAAAUUGCCAGCAAUUUUUUGACACAGAUGAUGACCAAUUUUGCAAGCAGAUCAAGCACACCAGAUUAAAUUCGCAACACGUGUAACAGGCUCGGCACCAAUCAAGCGCCUCAGUGCUGCUGAUUUCUUUUUUAUUCCUUGACAGACUUCUUAUCUCCUACUUCUUCCUGCUACAUUAAAGAUUUCUCUAUCCUAGCAUUUCAGUCACAGUCCUUUCUGUCUAGACGGAAACUAGAGUUAGCUAUAUUUGCUGCCAAGAUAAACUUCCCAGUUGUCCCAUAACAUACAUAUGGGACGUGUAUAACAAGCACUGCUACUUGUUAUACAGGGUGUCCCAAAAGUCUCCAUAUAUACUGUAGAGGACAGUACCUAUAUACAGCAUAUAUGUUUGCCAGCACCAUGUCGGUUGUACCUUCGUCAGUGGAUGUUCGUGGACGUCCACUCGUCCACUACUCAGUUUGUCCCCAACACUUCCAUUCUUUUUGAUUUUGUUAAUAAGUUUGGCAACAGUUUGGUGUGUGUGAUGCGAUUAGCGUGUUUCCUGUUAAAGUCCAUCGUAACCUUGCGAAAGCUUCCUGAUCCAGCCACAAGAAUGAUUUCAAUACAUUCUUCUUUCGUCAAAGGCAUUCUUAAAG